GUUCCUGUCGUUAAAUGGAUAUGAUUAUCCCCUCCGAAGGGAUCGUUCUGGGUUCGACUCCCAGCAGGAACA
rnacentral:tRNA from 1 species